GACGAACGCUGGAGGCGUGCUUAACACAUGCAAGUCGAACGAUGAAAUGGAGCUUGCUCCAUGGAUUAGUGGCGAACGGGUGAGUAACACGUGAAUAACCUGCCCUUAAUUUUGGAAUAACCCAGGGAAACCUGGGCUAAUACCGGAUAAGUAAACCUGUGGCAUCACAUGGUUUUGGAAAGUUUUUCGAUUAAGGAUGGAUUCGCGGCCUAUUAGCUUGUUGGUGAGGUAAUGGCUCACCAAGGCGACGACGGGUAGCCGGCCUGAGAGGGUGAACGGCCACACUGGGACUGAGACACGGCCCCGACUCCUACGGGAGGCAGCAGUGGGGAAUAUUGCGCAAUGGACGAAAGUCUGACGCAGCGACGCCUCGUGGGGGGCGAAGGUCUUCGGAUUGUAAACCUCUUUCAGCAGGGACGAAGCGAAAGUGACGGUACCUGCAGAAGAAGCACCGGCUAACUAUGUGCCAGCCGCCGCGGUAA
rnacentral:rRNA from 1 species